rnacentral:rRNA from 1 species
AUGCAAGUCGAACGGUAACAUUUCUAGCUUGCUAGCAGAUGACGAGUGGCGGACGGGUGAGUAAUGCUUGGGAACUUGCCUUUGCGGGGGGGAUAACAGUUGGAAACGACUGCUAAUACCGCAUAAUGUCUUCGGACCAAACGGGGCUUCGGCUCCGGCGCAAAGAGAGGCCCAAGUGAGAUUAGCUAGUUGGUAAGGUAACGGCUUACCAAGGCGACGAUCUCUAGCUGUUCUGAGAGGAAGAUCAGCCACACUGGGACUGAGACACGGCCCAGACUCCUACGGGAGGCAGCAGUGGGGAAUAUUGCACAAUGGGGGAAACCCUGAUGCAGCCAUGCCGCGUGUGUGAAGAAGGCCCUUCGGGUUGUAAAGCACUUUCAGUUGUGAGGAAAAGUUAGUAGUUAAUACCUGCUAGCCGUGACGUUAACAACAGAAGAAGCACCGGCUAACUCCGUGCCAGCAGCCGCGGUUAAUACGGAGGGUGCGAGCGUUAAUCGGAAUUACUGCGCGUAAAGCGCACGCA